CUCCCAUUGGCCUGCAGCAGCAAACCGUGGCCACUGGGACCCGCGAUCAGCUGAACCUGAGGACGCAGCAGGAGAAGAUAGCUUACUAGAGGAAUUUUGUACACCAGAUGGAGGACUUUUUGGACUCAAUAUCUGGUACACAAGGUAGUUCUACCUCUGAUUGCCACUGCUUUGGAACCCUCAGAAGUCAUUAUCCAUUACAGAAAGGAACUCUGGUGCUAGAAUGGGCGGCAGACUGCAUUUUUAAAUGUUAUUCUGAUUUAAUUCUGUUGUUAUGCAGACAUACUAAAUAACAGUAACUAAUACUUAAUCA